UAAGGGGCUAUGGGGUGGUUAUGGGGUGUGUAUGGGGUGGCUAUGGGGUGAAUAUGGGGGGUAUGUGCUCAGGGAGGAGCUAUGGGGUGGGUAUGGGGUGAAUAUGGGGUGGGUAUGGGGUGAAUAUGGGGUGGGUAUGGGGUCAGGGAGGGGCUGUGGGGUAUGGGGUGGUUAUGGGGUGGCUAUGGGGGUAGGGAAGGGCUAUAGGGUGGGUAUGGGGUGGUUAUGGGGUGGUUAUGGGGUGGCUAUGGGGUCGGGAAGGGGCUGUGGGGUGGGUAUAGGGUCACAGGCUGUGGGGUGGCUAUGGGGUGGCUAUGGGUUGGGGAUGGGGUGGUUAUGGGGUGAACAUGGGGUGGCUAUGGGGGCAGGGAGGGGCUAUGGGGUGGGUAUGGGGUGAAUAUGGGGUGGGUAUAGGGUCAGGGAGGGGCCGUGGGGUGGCUAUGGGGUUGGUAUGGGGUGGGUCUUGCUGUGGGUCUCUAUGUGUCUCUAUGGGUUCCUAUGGGUCUCUAUGUCUCUCUGUGUGUCUCUAUGGGUCUCUGUGUCUUGCUAUAGGUCCUUAUAUCUUGCUAUGGGUCUCUAUGGGUCGCUAUGGGUCUCUAUGGGUCUCUAUUGGUCUCUAUGUGUGUCUAUGGGUUGCUAUGGGUCGCUGUGGGUUUUUCUAUGGGUCAAUGUCUCUCUAUGGGUCGCUGUGUCUCCUUAUGUAUCUCAGUGUCUCUCUAUGUGUCUCUAUGGGGUCUCAGUGUCUCCCUAUGGGUCCCUAUGUCUCUCUAUGGGGUUACUAUGGGUCCCAAUGUGUCCCUAUGUGUCUCUAUGGGUCUCAAUGUCUCCCUAUGGGUCUCUAUGGGUCCUUAUGUCUCUCUAUGGGUCCCUAUGUCUUUCUAUGGGGUCUCUAUGGGUCGCUAUGGUUCCCAAUGUGUAUCUAUGGGUCCCUAUGCGUCUCUAUGUCUCUCUAUGGGUCUCAAUGUCUCUCUAUGUGCCCAUAUGGGUCUCGCUAUGGGUCACUAUGGGUCUCUGUGUCUCUCUAUGGGUCCCUAUGUGUCCCUAUGUCUCUCUAUGUGUCCCUAUGUGUCUCUAUGGGUCUCAAUGUCUCUCUAUGGGUCUCAAUGUCUCUCUAUGGGUCUCUAUGUGUCCCUAUGGGUCUCAAUGUCUCUCUAUGGGUCUCUAUGUGUCCCUAUGGGUCUCACUGUGUCCCUAUGUCUCUCUAUGGGUCUCUAUGUGUCCCUAUGGGUCUCUAUGUGUCCCUAUGGGUCUCUAUGUGUCCCUAUGUCUCUCUAUGUGUCCCUAUGGGUCUCAAUGUCUCUCUAUGGGUCUCAAUGUGUCCCUAUGGGUCUCUAUGUGUCCCUAUGUCUCUCUCUGUGUCCCUAUGGGUCUCAAUGUCUCUCUAUGGGUCUCAAUGUGUCCCUAUGGGUCUCUAUGUGUCCCUAUGUCUCUCUCUGUGUCCCUAUGCGUCUCUAUGGGUCUCAAUGUCUCCCUAUGUCUCUCUAUGUGUCCCUAUGGGUCUCAAUGUCUCUAUCUCUCUAUGUGUCCCUAUGGGUCACUAUGGGUCUCUGUGUCUCUCUAUGGGUCCCUAUGUGUCCCUAUGUCUCUCUAUGUGUCCCUAUGGGUCUCACUGUGUCCCUAUGUCUCUCAAUGUGUCCCUAUGGGUCUCAGUGUGUCCCUAUGUGUCCCUAUGGGUCCCUAUGUGUCCUUAUGUCUCUCUAUGGGUCUCACUGUGUCCCUAUGGGUCUCACUGUGUCCCUAUGUGUCUCCAUGUGUCUCUAUGGGUCUCUAUGUGUCCCUAUGGGUCCCUAUGGGUCUCAAUGUCUCUCUAUGGGUCUCACUGUGUCCCUAUGUGUCUCUAUGUGUCCCUAUGGGUCUCACUGUGUCCCUAUGUCUCUCUAUGGGUCUCACUGUGUCCCUAUGUGUCCCUAUGGGUCGCUAUGGGUCCCAGUCCCCCCGCAGUCCGUGUCCAUCUCGUUGUCCCCCCGCUCCCCCCGUCCCGGUUCGUUGUUGGAACUGACCUGCAGCGCCGGCAGCGCCCGACCAGCCCCCACCCUGCAAUGGGACAUCGACGGGACCACGUGGGUACAGCCCCACAGCGCCCCAUAGAGACCCAUAUACCCCCAUACAGCCCCAUAGCGCCCCAUAGAGACACGUACAGCCCCAUAUAACCCCAUACAGCCCCAUAGAGACCCAUAGAGCCCCAUAUAACCCCAUAGAGCCCCAUAGAGACCCAUACAGCCCCAUAGUGCCCCAUAUAGCCCCAUAUAACCCCAUACAGCCCCACAGCACCCCAUAGCAACCCACAGAGCCCCAUAGAGACACGUACAGCCCCAUAUAACCCCAUACAGCCCCAUAGCGCCCCAUAGAGACACAUACAGCCCCAUAUAACCCCAUACAGCCCCAUAGAGACACAUAGAGCCCCAUAUAACCCCAUACAGCCCCAUAGAGAUACAUACAGCACCAUAUAACCCCAUACAGCCCCAUAGUGCCCCAUAAAGACCCAUAUAGCCCCAUAUAACCCCAUACAGCCCUAUAGUGGCCCAUAUAGCCCCAUAUAGCCCCAUAUAACCCCAUACAGCCCUAUAGUGCCCCAUAGAGACACAUACAGCCCCAUAUAACCCCAUACAGCCCUAUAGUGCCCCAUAGAGACACAUACAGCCCCAUAUAACCCCAUACAGCCCCAUAGUGCCCCAUAGAGACCCAUAUAGCCCCAUAUAACCCCAUAUAGCCCAAUAGCGCCCCAUAGAGACCCAUACAGCCCCACAGCACCUCAUAGCGACCCACAGCGCUCCAUAGAGACACAUACAGCCCCAUAGCGCCCCAUAGAGACACAUACAGCCCCAUAUAACCCCAUACAGCCCCAUAGCAUCCCAUUGGGCCCAUAGCAUCCCAUAGCGCCCCAUAGCAUUCCCCCACUGUGCCCCAUAGCGCCCCAUAGUAUCCUAUUGUGCCCCAUAGCGCCCCAUAGAGCCCCAUUGUGCCCAAUAGAGCCCCAUAGAGCCCCAUAGAGCCCCAUUGCGCCCCAUAGAGCCCCAUAGAACCCCAUAGAGCACCAUAGGGCCCAUUGUGCCCCAUAGAGCCCCAUUGUGCCCCAUAGAGCCCCAUUGCGCCCCAUAGAGCCCCAUUG
ensembl:lncRNA